rnacentral:rRNA from 1 species
GACGAGGGUGGCGAGCGUUGUUCGGAAUCACUGGGCAUAAAGCGCACGUAGGCGGCGACGUAAGUUGGGUGUGAAAUCCCUCGGCCCAACCGAGGAACUGCGCCCAGUACUGCGUUGCUUGAGGAUCCAAGGGGUGCAUGGAAUUCCCGGUGGAGCGGUGAAAUGCGUUGAUAUCGGGAGGAACUCCGGCGGCGAAAGCGGUGCACUGGUGGAUUACUGACGCUGAGGUGCGAAAGCCAGGGGAGCAAACGGG